GUUGAGUUGGUAAAUCACAAAGCUCUUAACCUUGUGGACGUGGGUUCAAGCCCCAU
rnacentral:tRNA from 1 species